UACGUAGGGGGCAAGCGUUGUCCGGAUUUAUUGGGCGUAAAGAGCGUGUAGGCGGCCAGUUAGGUCCGUUGUGAAAACUCGAGGCUCAACCUCGAGACGCCGAUGGAAACCAACUGGCUAGAGUCCGGAAGAGGAGAGUGGAAUUCCCGGUGUAGCGGUGGAAAUGACGCAGAUAUCGGGAAGAACACCCGUGGCUAAGGCGGCUCUCUAGUACGGUACUGACGCUGAGACGCGAAAGCGUGGGGAGCGAACGAGG
rnacentral:rRNA from 1 species